CCACAUCGCUCUCUCGCUCUUUCUCUGACCGCACACGUUCUCUCUCUCUGCCUCUCUUGUUCCCCUUCUGGCGCCGCUCCGAUUCUGGCGGGUUCCGGUGCUGAGGGUUUUGGACGGCGGCGGCAGAAACGAUGGACUGCUAGGGUUCAUCCCCUCCACGACAUUGACUACAAACCAUCUGCAAGUUCAUCCCCUCCACCUUCUUUUGCUUUCUACGAAAUCAUCGAUGAGUUCAUACCCUCGCGAUUUGAUUUCCAUUGCUAGGGUUUCAGUUUGACAGUGAAGUGAGUAGGCCAGAUGAAUAUGACUGGUUGCAGCCAAUGAGUACCUACAACAGCCACUACCGUCUUCGUGUAACUUCGCGGCGUAUGCUGACGUCGACAGAGGCGAAGAGAGCACCAACCAGGAAUACGUAUGACGCCCGUCUCCGGCACCCGUCGAGGAGAAGGUUUCUGACGUGGACAUGCUCAACUGUGAGUUGAUCGCGUCUCAGAAGAGUAUAAUCAAGGCCCUCAGGGACUUGAAUUCCUCACUAUAGAUGGAGAAGGAUGAGAUCAUCGACGAUAAGUCUGAUAUCUUUUAUAAGAUUAUUAGGCUGAAGGAGCCGCAGGAUGAACUAGUCCAGGAGAGGGAUCAGCUGAACAAAGAGAUAAAGCUCCUGAGGGUCGAGAGGAAUUAGGUGAAGAUAGAGAAAGCCCAUUUCAAACAAGAGGGGGAGAGCAAUAGGAACAAGCUACGCUAGAUGAAGUUAAUCCUUCAAAGAGAGUGAGACGUAGGUAGUUUGGUUGGCAAUGACCUUUUGUGAAGAUGAACUACUGACUUUUGUUAAGUUUGUGAGACUAGUUAAGUUUUAAAUGUUGCAUAUAUGGACUAUGGACUAGGUUUAAA